AGUCGUAACAAGGUUUCCGUAGGUGAACCUGCGGAAGGAUCAUUAACGAGUAAGGGUCCUGACCGGCCCGACCUCCAACCCUUUGUCGUUGAAAACCACUGUUGCUUUGGCGGGACAGCGGGUCCCCAGGGGCCCGCCGCCGGUCUUCGGCCCGGCGAGCGCCUGCCAGAGUCCAACCAUAAAUCUCGUCACAGAACAGUACGUCUGAGUAAAUUGAUAAAUCAAUCAAAA
rnacentral:misc_RNA from 1 species